AUAACUUGUUAGGUGAGGCUCCUAUGGAAACACAGGCUACUGCUCAAAAAUGUCGAAAGACAGGAAUGGGUAGGACAGGAAUUGUCGAAUUAAGGCUUUUCACAAAGUAGCUAAAAGCGCCAGCUUUUUACGUUUCAUAGUGCUAAAACUCAACGAUGAGA
rnacentral:sRNA from 1 species